UGUUAGAGGUGGGGGGUGGGGGGCUGACCGCUUGGAGUGCGAUUGUGUUGGGCUGCCUGGGCGGCCCGGGAGCGGCUGACCCUCUGCCUGCCGGGACCGGAGUCGCUAGGCGUCCGUCAUGGCGGUGUCGGAGAGCCAGCUCAAGAAAAUGGUGUCCAAGUACAAAUACAGAGACCUAACUGUACGUGAAACUGUCAAUGUUAUUACUCUGUACAAAGAUCUCAAACCUGUAUUGGAUUCAUAUGAGACAGUUUCACUGAGUUA